UGGGAGGAAGCCGAAAAUCCCUUCAAAAGAGUAAGCG
rfam:Echinicola vietnamensis DSM 17526, complete genome.